rnacentral:rRNA from 1 species
GGGUGAGAUCAUACAAGCACUCAUGUACCGGGUCCCAUCAAAACUCCGAAAUUAAGUGUGCUUAGGCAAGAGUCGUAUUAAGAAGGGCUUUGUUACAAAACUUCCACAAACACAGGCA